UUUUUAUUUAUUGCAUAGAUCCAUGCCAAUAUACGUCAAAUGUCCACGAGGAAAAUUUUGUCGAGUUGACCAUGAAACAAGGAGACCAUCUUGUGUUUGUUUAGAGGCGUGUCUUCGUAUUUAUGCUCCAGUAUGCGGAUCAAUAAUCACUGCAAACUACAGUAGCUCAUACAAUUUUUUUUUUAAAAUUAAUAUUUAAUUUCAGGAAGCUUUCUCACAAAGUGAUUUUCAGAAAGGUCCUGAACUAAAUAAACUAUUAUACAAGGAAGACAUGCAUAUACUACAUAACUAUGAAAAAUAUUAAAAAAUUAUACGAGGGAAAGUUCAAAGAUUGC